UACGGGGGGCGCAAGCGUUGUUCGGAUUUAUUGGGCGUAAAGCGCGCGUAGGCGGUUUGUUAAGUCAGAUGUGAAAGCCCACGGCUCAACCGUGGACGUGCAUUUGAAACUGGCAGACUUGAGUAUUGGAGGGGGUGGUGGAAUUCCCGGUGUAGAGGUGAAAUUCGUAGAUAUCGGGAGGAAUACCGGUGGCGAAGGCGACCACCUGGCCAAAUACUGACGCUGAGGUGCGAAAGCGUGGGGAGCAAACAGG
rnacentral:rRNA from 1 species